AUGCCUAGAAUAAGAUUGUGAGAUCUCAGUAUUAUUCAGAAUCUUCCAAAUUUGAAAGAAACAAAUAGUGAACAACAGACUGCUAUUGGAUCUUCGAAUGUUUCGAAUACAGCUGACGAACCUGCAGAAAUUCAAAUUGAAAGUGGCAGGACGCGCAAAACUUGAUGACAUACGUUAUUAAAAGAUUUAUACGGGUUAAAUUCUGUUAAGCGUGUCAAAGUAACUAGAAACAGUCUUGGUCAGCCUAUUGGAUCAGAAGCUCGACUUUUAGCAGGAUACUUUGGUAUUAUAGCACGAAACACCAAUCUGUUGCCUAUCAACUACGAGUCAUGGCAUCAUAUGCCUGAUAGUAACAAAAAUUAAGCUCUCGAUAAUAUUAAGGUAAUAACGUGAAUGUAAUUUAUAAUACUUUGGUUUAAGUUUCAUUUAUAUUUACUUUCUAAACUUAUAUUAUUUGCAUGAGAGAUUUGCUUUAGAGGUCUCAAAUAAUUAUGUGAAGAAGGCAUUAGGAAAAAAUGGAAAGACCAUAAAAGUGCUUUAAAAAAGGAAUAUUUUAAGAAAAAUAUAAGCUUCGAAGAGAAAUUGCGAAAUGUCUCGCUGGGAAUGCUGAUGUACCAAUGGGAAGAUGCAGUUAGAUUUUGGAAUUCAAAGAAAAGAGAGGAAUUGUCGUCUGGUAAAAAAGUUGAACGCCUUCAACUUUUUGACAUUAUUCAUAGAAAGAAAGAUGGAUCUCCUAUGACU